CAGUCGCCGCGGUAAUACGAAGGGGGCUAGCGUUGUUCGGAUUUACUGGGCGUAAAGGGUGCGUAGGCGGUUCGUUAAGACAGAUGUGAAAUCCCCGGGCUUAACCUGGGAACUGCAUUUGUGACUGGCGAGCUAGAGUAUGGCAGAGGGGGGUAGAAUUCCACGUGUAGCAGUGAAAUGCGUAGAGAUGUGGAGGAAUACCGAUGGCGAAGGCAGCCCCCUGGGCCAAUACUGACGCUCAUGCACGAAAGCGUGGGGAGCAAACAGGAUUAGAUACCCCCGUAGUCCCUGUCUCUUAUAC
rnacentral:rRNA from 1 species